CUCUGCGGCCUCCCAUGGCAACGGCGGCUCCUUGGCAACGGGCGGGAGGCGGGGGCCGGGCCCGCGGCGGCGGGAGGCGGCAGCCCGGGGGCGCCGGGGCCGGGGCCGGGGCCGGGGCCGUUCCGUUCUGUUCGCAUUCCCGCCCGCUCCCCCGGCUGCCCGUCGCGGGCCCGCAGCCGAGAGGGCGGCGGAGGGGCGAGUGCCUCCGAGGACGAGCCGGCCGCAGGCUCAGCCUUGCGGAGGUGUGGAAGUACGCGACGGCCGCUCUGCCUUUCCGUAUGCAGCAGAGACCGAGCAGGCCCCGGCACCCCUUAGACACAGCGCCAGCUUUUAUAUGAUUUGAUUCAACCACUACUGCAGCCGAAAACCAUUGCUGGAAGGAGGGUGAAAGGAAAGGAGGGGCAAGAGUUUUCUGCACGAGCCCUGCGUUACAUCAGCUCACAGAGAAGUUCCGCAAAUACCAGUGUGAGGUUAAGCAGCAGGAGACCAUGGCUGUCAGGGCAGUGAGGAAAGGCACACGGAACCUCUUCCUUUUGGCUGCAGCGAGCUCUUAAAUUAUCUCAGACACGUCAUUCAAAGAACCCCCGAUUUCCUGAUACACCUGUGUGGGUAAGUGAGACCAAUAGCUACAGUCUCAUCUUGACAUUCCUUGUGAGUCCUCUUCUCCUGUGAGAAUAUACUUUCCCCCGACACCCUUGACUCAUGGAACGCAUUUGAUUACAGAAAGUCGCCUUGUUUCAACAGGGCCUUGACAUUUUACUGGUUGACCAGUUAUUUCAGUUACCUUGGUCUGUCUCACGUCUGCAGGUGUUGUGUUUAAUUAUUUUCAGAGGGGUAUGGCCAAUUAAAAAUGGCCAUACCCAUAGUUCUAUUUUUAGGUUAUUAAAUCCAAGUAUUCCAAAGACAGCCGAUUGAGAAUGACACCAAGUCAAAGU